rnacentral:rRNA from 1 species
UACGGAGGGUGCAAGCGUUAUCCGGAUUUACUGGGUUUAAAGGGUGCGCAGGCGGAUAUGUAAGUCAGUGGUGAAAUCUCUAGGCUUAACCUGGAAAUUGCCGUUGAUACUAUAUAUCUUGAAUGCUGUGGAGGUAAGCAGAAUAUGUCAUGUAGCGGUGAAAUGCUUAGAUAUGACAUAGAAUACCUAUUGCGAAGGCAGCUUACUACGCAGAUAUUGACGCUCAUGCACGAAAGCGUGGGGAGCAAAAGGG